GACGAACGCUGGCGGCGUGCUUAACACAUGCAAGUCGAACGGAAAGGCCCUGCUUGCAGGGUACUCGAGUGGCGAACGGGUGAGUAACACGUGGGUGAUCUGCCCUGCACUUCGGGAUAAGCUUGGGAAACUGGGUCUAAUACCGGAUAGGAUCCAUCUUUAGUGUGGUGGUUGGAAAGUUUUUUCGGUGUAGGAUGAGCUCGCGGCCUAUCAGCUUGUUGGUGGGGUAAUGGCCUACCAAGGCGGCGACGGGUAGCCGGCCUGAGAGGGUGUACGGCCACAUUGGGAAUGAGAUACGGCCCAGACUCCUACGGGAGGCAGAAGUGGGGAAUAUUGCACAAUGGGCGCAAGCCUGAUGCAGCGACGCCGCGUGGGGGAUGAAGGACUUCGGGUUGUAAACUCCUUUCGCUAGGGACGAAGCUUUUUGUGACGGUACAUAGAUAAGAAGCACCGGCUAACUACGUG
rnacentral:rRNA from 1 species